AUCAGCCUCUCAAAGCCUGUAUCUAUGGUGAUUGACUUGAUCAGUUUUAAAAAUAGGCUGACAGUAGCAAUGGUCUGAUUAAGCCUUUGUCUAAGAGGGGCAAGAGAGAUGCUGAGUGGGAAAAUGGUGCCUCGGCUGAUGACUUGAGAUAGACCCCUGGAUCCCACAUAGUGAAAGAAGAAAACAGACUCCUGUCUCAUGUUGCCCAGGCUAGCCUCCAUCUCUGGAUGUGUGGAAGGAUGAUCUUAAAUUUCAGAUCCUCCCACUUCUACCUCUCGAGUGUUGGAGUUACAGCCAUGUACUGCCAUAGUUGGUUACACAGUGAUGGGGAAUCAAACCAGAGCCUGAUGCACGCUGGAUAUGCACUCUACAGCCAAGGUGAAGUUAAAAUGAAGCACUUAGGGUAGAUCCUAGUCCAGGGCCUUGGGAAUCCAGACAAACACAAAAGGGUGAAGACACAGAAAUCAGACAAGUAAGUACAAGGCAAGGAGAAAGUUCUGGAACAGAUCAUCACUCUCAAGCCUCAGACGUGCACAGACUCUCAGCUUUCCAGCAUCUAUCACCCCCAAAAUGGGAAACUUCUGCCCUUGGCUGCACUUUGUUGCAACAGACCUGGCAGAAGUCCAAACAAGACAAAAAGCUGAUUCUGCAGCCUACCCCUGCCUGCCAGCUGAUCGGCCUUGUUCAAGCUGGAGAACCUCUGGAGAGUCCAGCUCUGUAUGGGGUUCUUUCUUCCGAGCAAACCCUUAAGCUGUGGGAGGGCUGGAUCUGUGUGAUCUGACCUGUACCUGUCCCGGGCUUCCUUGCAGCUCCCCUGAGACAGCUUUUCCCUGUGAAGCUAGCCAGCAACUCCCAUCAGUAGCAGGCAAGAAUCCCAGGACUCACUCGACGAACCAGCCUCGUCUGGCUGGAUUCUUGAAGAACAUAUGGAGUCACCCUAUUCCCCUAUAGCAGCUUCAACUCUCAGGUUCUCUUUCUUGUAGCCCAUCUCCUGGGUCCUCGGUGGUCCCUGGGGGUCCCCGGCAAGAGGCAGGUUGUUUAGGCCAGCCAGAUACCACUUAAAGAGACCCAAUUCAAAACAUAACCGUGUGCGACUCAACUUACGGUCAGGCUCUGAAUCUACAAGAAUUUCAUAAACAAGUAACAUUUAAAAAAAUGGUUAUCGAUGAAGGAAAAAAAGAACCUGAAGAAAUCAGAUGAUGUGAGGGAGGUUUAGGCAAGACCUUUCAGGUACAGUGUGUUCUAAAAUUUGACUUUUGAAUUGUAGAAAUAAAUGACCUAUUAAAAUAAAAUUUUAAUUUAAAAUGUGCUCUCUACUUAAGAGGGUACCCGAGUGUGUGUGUGUGUGUGUGUGUGUGUGUGUGUGUGUGUUUUUGCAUUGGAAACACACCCAGUGUAAUUUGUAAAAUAAAUACAUAAUAAAUAGGUUAAAUGUUUAUUUUGACUUAUGUUUUCAAAUGCCAGUUGUUUAAUUUACCAUGAAGGAUUGCUGGCAGACCCAUCAUCACUGGUACCGAAUACGGCAUUCAGACCUUGACCUAGGCUGGCCUUCCCAGGAAACCAGCUCUGUGGCCUUGCCCUCUUCACUCUUCCCAUCAAUACCACAGGCUGACUUCUCCUGUUGACAGGCGCAUGGUCAACACA
rnacentral:lncRNA from 1 species